GCCCUCGUAGAUUAAAUGGUAAAUCACCCGCUCCCUGUCAACCCGACGACCACUACGAGUCCAGUGGGAGAUGGAGGUUCGAAUCCUCCUGAGGGCA